CUACCUGCAGUCGAGCGGUAACAGAUCUAGCUUGCUAUAUGCUGACGAGCGGCGGACGGGUGAGUAAUGCAUAGGAAUCUGCCCGGUAGUGGGGGAUAACCUGGGGAAACCCAGGCUAAUACCGCAUACGUCCUACGGGAGAAAGGGGGCUCCGGCUCCCGCUAUUGGAUGACCCUAUGUCGGAUUAUCUAGUUGGUGAGGUAAUGGCUCACCAAGGCAACGAUCCGUAGCUGGUCUGAGAGGAUGAUCAGCCACAUCGGGACUGAGACACGGCCCGAACUCCUACGGGAGGCAGCAGUGGGGAAUAUUGGACAAUGGGGGCAACCCUGAUCCAGCCAUGCCGCGUGUGUGAACAAGGCCCUCGGGUUGUAAAGCACUUUCAGCGAGGAAGAACGCCUAGUGGUUAAUGCCCAUUAGGAAAGACAUCACUCGCAGAAGAAGCACCGGCUAACUCCGUGCCAGCAGCCGCGGUAAUGCGGAGGGUGCAAGCGUUAAUCGGAAUUACUGGGCGUAAAGCGCGCGUAGGUGGCUUGAUAAGCCGGUUGUGAAAUGCAC
rnacentral:rRNA from 1 species